rnacentral:rRNA from 1 species
AUUGAACGCUGGCGGCAGGCUUAACACAUGCAAGUCGAGCGAGCGGCGGACGGGUGAGUAAGGUCUGGGAAACUGCCUGACGGAGGGGGAUAACUACUGGAAAAGGUAGCUAAUACCGCAUACCAUCAGAUGUGCCCAGAUGGGAUGAGCUAGGUGGGGGGGUAAUGGCUCACCUAGGCGACGAUCCCUAGCUGGUCUGAGAGGAGGACCAGCCACACUGGAACUGAGACACGGUCCAGACUCCUACGGGAGGCAGCAGUGGGGAAUAGUGCACAAUGGGCGCAAGCCUGAUGCAGCAAUGCCGCGUGUGUGAAGAAGGCCUUCGGGUUGUAAAGCACUGUCAGCGAGGAGGCGUUACUCGCCGAAGAAGCACCGGCUAACUCCGUGCCAGCAGCCGCGGUAAUAC